UACGAAGGGGGCUAGCGUUGCUCGGAAUCACUAGGCGUAAAGGGUGCGUAGGCGGGUCUUUAAGUCAGGGGUGAAAUCCUGGAGCUCAACUCCAGAACUGCCUUCGAUACUGGCGAUCUAGAGUCCGGAAGAGGUGAGUGGAACUCCUAGUGUAGAGGUGGAAUUCGUAGAUAUUAGGAAGAACACCAGUGGCGAAGGCGGCUCACUGGUCCGGUACUGACGCUGAGGUGCGAAAGCGUGGGGAGCAAACAGG
rnacentral:rRNA from 1 species